ACAAGCGGUGAGUGCUUUGGGGUGGGGUGACUGCGUACCUUUUGUAUAAUGGGUCAGCGACUUAUAUUCUGUAGCAAGGUUAACCGUAUAGGGGAGCCGUAGGGAAACCGAGUCUUAACCGGGCGUUAAGUUGCAGGGUAUAGACCCGAAACCCGGUGAUCUAGCCAUGGGCAGGUUGAAGGUUGGGUAACACUAACUGGAGGACCGAACCGACUAAUGUUGAAAAAUUAGCGGAUGACCUGUGGCUGGGGGUGAAAGGCCAAUCAAACCGGGAGAUAGCUGGUUCUCCCCGAAAGCUAUUUAGGUAGCGCCUCGUGAAUUCAUCUUCGGGGGUAGAGCACUGUUUCGGCUAGGGGGUCAUCCCGACUUACCAACCCGAUGCAAACUGCGAAUACCGGAGAAUGUUAUCACGGGAGACACACGGCGGGUGCUAACGUCCGUCGUGAAGAGGGAAACAACCCAGACCGCCAGCUAAGGUCCCAAAGUCAUGGUUAAGUGGGAAACGAUGUGGGAAGGCCCAGACAGCCAGGAUGUUGGCUUAGAAGCAGCCAUCAUUUAAAGAAAGCGUAAUAGCUCACUGGUCGAGUCGGCCUGCGCGGAAGAUGUAACGGGGCUAAACCAUGCACCGAAGCUGCGGCAGCGACACUGUGUGUUGUUGGGUAGGGGAGCGUUCUGUAAGCCUGCGAAGGUGGCCUGUGAGGGUUGCUGGAGGUAUCAGAAGUGCGAAUGCUGACAUAAGUAACGAUAAAGCGGGUGAAAAGCCCGCUCGCCGGAAGACCAAGGGUUCCUGUCCAACGUUAAUCGGGGCAGGGUGAGUCGACCCCUAAGGCGAGGCCGAAAGGCGUAGUCGAUGGGAAACAGGUUAAUAUUCCUGUACUUGGUGUUACUGCGAAGGGGGGACGGAGAAGGCUAUGUUGGCCGGGCGACGGUUGUCCCGGUUUAAGCGUGUAGGUGUGUGUUCCAGGUAAAUCCGGUUCACUUUAACACUGAGGCGUGA
rnacentral:rRNA from 1 species